GCUUACGGCCAUAUCAGCCUGGGUACGCCCGAUCUCGUCUGAUCUCGGAAGCUAAGCAUGGUCGGGCCUGGUUAGUACUUGGAUGGGAGACCGCCUGGGAAUACCAGGUGCUGUAAGCA
rnacentral:rRNA from 1 species